rnacentral:rRNA from 1 species
GACAGAGGUGCCAAGCGUUAGGCGGAAUCACUGGGCUUAAAGCGUGUGUAGGCGGAUCGUUAAGUACCUUGUGAAAUCCCACGGCUCAACCGUGGAACUGCUGGGUAUACUGGCGAUCUUGAGCCACCUAGGGGCGAGCGGAACAAGCGGUGGAGCGGUGAAAUUCGUAGAUAUUCGCAAGAACACCAGUGGCGAAGGCGGCUCACUGGCCCGAUACUGACGCUGAGGCACGAAAGCGUGGGGAGCAAACAGG